rnacentral:rRNA from 1 species
GAUGAACGCUGACAGAAUGCUUAACACAUGCAAGUCAACUUGAACUUCGGUUUGGGUGGCGGACGGGUGAGUAACGCGUAAAGAACUUGCCUCACAGCUAGGGACAACAUUUGGAAACGAAUGCUAAUACCUGAUAUUAUGAUUAUAUGGCAUCGUAUAAUUAUGAAAGCUAUAUGCGCUGUGAGAGAGCUUUGCGUCCCAUUAGCUAGUUGGAGAGGUAACAGCACACCAAGGCGAUGAUGGGUAGCCGGCCUGAGAGGGUGAUCGGCCACAAGGGGACUGAGACACGGCCCUUACUCCUACGGGAGGCAGCAGUGGGGAAUAUUGGACAAUGGACCGAGAGUCUGAUCCAGCAAUUCUGUGUGCACGAUGAAGUUUUUCGGAAUGUAAAGUGGUUUCAGUUGAGAAGAAAAAAAUGACGGUACCAACAGAAGAAGUAACGGCUAAAUACGUG